AUAAAUAGUCUUCUGGGAACACAAGUGGAGUGGCUUUACUAUAUUCUUCAGGCAUUUAACUCUGGUGAUCUAGUUCGCUACCAAGAAUUGUGUCGCGUGCAUAAUGCUUCCCUGAGAGCCCAGCCAGCAUUAGUUGAGAAUGAACAGAAGCUAUUAGAAAAAAUUAACAUUCUUUGCCUGAUGGAAAUCAUCUUUAGCCGUCCUUCUGAAGAUCGAACUAUUCCACUAAGUGUCAUUGCUGAGCGCACAAAACUUUUCAUUGAGGAUGUGGAGCAUCUUCUCAUGAAGAGUCUUUCUGUCCAUCUUAUUGAGGGUAUAAUUGA
rnacentral:misc_RNA from 1 species